rnacentral:lncRNA from 1 species
AAUGGGUCGGAAAUUGUAAUUAGGGCUAAAUUUUCUUACUUUUUGUUUGUGCAGCCAGCAGCAGGAGCAAGAGGCAAUGUAGGGGGAGGAGUGGAGGUGCGACGGCAAACGUGCGGCGCCUCUUGUUUCCCUCGAUUCCAACCAUGUUACCAUCAGCCACUCCCCCUCAGAUCAUUCAACAACAGCAACAGCAGCAACACCGCGAUGACGGCUCUAGCGGCUACGGCAGCCCCGAUUCAGAAACUUUUGAAUCGACCACUCAAUGAUUUUGUUUCUUGACACCUGCUUCCAUCCCGGGCCAAGUCUCAUCAAGUCAAAAACGGUGGAUGCAAUCAUGCUCGCGCUUCGAAACUUCUGCUCAUGUGCCCAUGAAACUUCAGUUAUAAAAACAUCUUCGCGUCUACUAUUCUUCUUUCCAAUAAGCUUCUCUCAUUAACUGUCUCUUGACUGAACCCUAUAAACUAAUGGUUUAAUGAUCAACUAAUUCAAUUACUCAUUAUGAAACCAAAAUUUAAGAGUUCGCAAAUCGUUGUGAGGAAGUAAUGCUUAGCAGCCUAAAACCUCAGUACAUAUGUCUUUACCUUUUUGUACAGAGCUUAAGAGAAGGACGACCAUCUUAAAUCAAUAGAAUAUUUGACAAGAUCGUAGCUCUGUACUAGUGAUUAAAAUAAAUAAUUGGCAAAUUUUUCCCGAAAAGCACCAAUUUUUCAAUCAUUCCUAUAUUGCUCAUUACUGUGUUUUCUGUAAUGUUAAAUUUAAAUCCGUUUUUAAGUUUAAUAUACCCUCAAAAAUAAUCCUCUUUUUACAGCUCUCAGUAUAUAAUUUUAAAAAUGCUGCCCAAAUUAAGGAUUGAAAUGGUUGAUAGGUACCAAAUUUUAUUUCCUGAGUCUGUUAACCGACUACCUAUGACUUCACCAAAUAUAAUGCCAUGAGAGUUUUAUGUACUGAAAAAAAUUUUAAUACUCUCCAGGAAAUUUUUAAGUAUUGCAGCUCUGAAAGGAAAAAAAAUUAAGGAGUGAUUGAAACAUUGCAGCAGCAAAGAAAGUCAGUUAUGUGAGGGAAGCUGCCUUACAUUCAAGAAUAAGUAGGUAACUUGGCAAAUUCUGCCAUGCUAAGGAAAAACGCCGUAUGAGCCUUCAGACGUUACCAAGUCUUCUUCGAUAAAUACCGAAUUUAAUCUAAAAUAUCUGAAAAUCUCAAGAAAAAUGUGCAUGAAUGUCGUCCAAAAUACAUGUUUUAUCAAGGGAAAUUUGGCAACUCUCGAAUGUUCAUACGGCGUUCUUCCUUAGCACGGCAUAAUUGCGAUUGAUCAAAUUAAAUGACAUCUUUAUCAGAAUCUGGUUCUUUUUUCUUUAAAAAAAAGAAAAAGAAAAAGAAAAAUAACGAAGCUCUGUGUAUUUAAAAGCGUCAAGUUUCGAAGAAAAAUGUUGUUGAUUGUUUUCGUUUUUAUUUUUGUACUCAUGUUCUUAGUUUUUAAAUUGUACCAUUUCCUCAAAGGGGGAAACAAGGAAGUCUUUUGUAGAAACUGUACCAAUUUGAACCCUAGUCACUAGGUUUUAAAAAUGUAACUAACGAUGAUGAUAGCAUAGUUAUAUCUCUUCGUUCUAGUCUCUUCCGCUGCUUGAAGCAUUGGUUCAGUUUUGUACUCGCAGUUACAACUUGCACUUGUGUUGUGUCCCUCAGAGGUGUUGGCUCGCAGUAUAUCUGCAUGUGGCCCAUGGCCAUUUUUGUAAUGAAGGUUUCACGUGGCAACACCAAGUUGAAACUCUUUUGACUUAACUUGUGAAUUAAUUUUUUCAGUACCUAAGAUCUGACAGACUGGAAAAAAAACCUAAGCUAAGCUAUCUCUGUCUCUCUCCCUCUCUCUCCCUCCCCUCCCCUUUUGGCAGGUCUGUCUCCUGAAUAAUCCACAUGUAGUAGCAAAAAAAAAGAUUACAAUUUCGUAGACAUACAUACGUUACCUCUGUUAAUGCCAAUGCUCUGAGGGACAAAAUGUUUCUUAUUCCUAACUGUAAAUAUAUUUAUAAAAUUAAGCUGUCCAAGGUACCUAUCUUCUGUCAGUAAAAUUCAAAAAUCUUGAACGAGAAAUGUAUCUACAAGCACGCACCUGUUGAGGAUCAAAGCUGAAAUAAUAAUCCAAUUGAAAACUGCAGAAAGAAGAUUCUUAUAAUUUCGACUGUGUAUUAACCCAAAAAUAAUUUGACGAAGAUGUCUCAUAUGGAUGCAUUGACAUUGAAUUCUUGAUGAGCGUUGUCUAAAGAUGCACUCUUCCCAUCUUAUUUUUGCUACCUACUGUUCCAUAACUGUUCUGAAGGCAGUCUCAUGUUGGUAUCUUUGAUCGCUUACUUAGCUUGCUCAUAGAAAUAUCAAUGGCUAAUCACAGAAAUAGAAAUUUUCAACACCUUGGUUGUGAUUUUUAAAAAUUACCACUAUUUUACUUUUCACGAGCAAAAAGAAGGGGAGUUUAGGGGGAAAAAUACCUACUGGAAAUUUCCAAAACGAUUUAUUGACUGGUUUUCCGAUUGAAAAAUAAGGUCUGUAAUGUUACAAUUCGAAAAUGUGGUUUGAAAGUUUAUCCAUUGAUACAGUGUGGUCAAAGAGGCGACCAAGAGUCCGAAAUCACAAAUCUGUUGGUUAAAUUCAUGUCCUAUGUAGGUGUGGUGCUGUGUAUUCCAUAAAGCUGAUCAUUUUAUCUCACAUUAAAUCAAGAUACAUUUUCAAUUUCAAUUUUACUUCGGACGAAUUUUGCUCAGUUUUUCAAUAUGAUGUGUUUUCCUCCUGAAUUGAGUAAAUUGGGGCUGAUAAAACGAAAUUUCGGGCUUUUUGAGACGAGUUGAAAGAUUGAAAAUCUACAGUGCCACCAAACUAAGGAAAGCCUUUUCUCUUGCAUAAACAAAGUAAAUCUUAAAGAAAAUUUUUUUGAGAGGCGGAAACAGUGGCAAAGCAAUACCUUUGUUUAAUAACCAUAGUGCUCAGAAAUUUCUUUUUUAAACCUGAGUUUCUUGAAA